GUAAUAGUUAUGUUCUUGAAACCUAAAGAAUUUGGCGGCAUUUCAUUCUUUUUAGAGGAACCUGUCCUGUAAUCGACACUCCACGAUGAAUAAUUACUUGUUUUUGUUUAGUUUGUAUACCUCCGUCAUAAGGGUAUCUUUUUAGAGGGAAUGUCCUAUAUACAUAAAUUGUAGAAUGUCAGGUCAAGGUGCAAUUUAUGGACAAGUAGAGAUGGGUUACAAUAAAAUUAUUUAUACGGAUUAGGAAUGAUAUUCUCCCUAUGAAGGUGGAUUUAAAAGUAAAAUUAAUUUCUUGUUAUUUUGAUUUUUGUUCUGAAAUGUGCACACAUCGCCCG
rnacentral:rRNA from 1 species